AUGAACUCACCGAGACAGAAACAAUCCCUGGAUAUUUACCCCCACACACGCGUGCGCGCGCAAGGGGAGAAAAGCGCAGGCAUUUCCUCACACACACGCACUGGAGACGGGCCGCAGCUCUUCUCCUCCUCUCGGGCCGGGGACGGGAGGAGGACAGCGGGCUGCUCACACCUCACGCGUGUCCGCUGCAUGGGCAUCGCGGGCGGCGGCAGCCCCUCGACACCACGGCCCCACAGCGCCUCAGCCUCACGCUUCGUGCGGGGCUGCCUGGCCUCGCACGUCACCCCACGCCCUCACACGUGCCCUCACACACCCAGAUGUGCCCUCACACGUAACCCCACACCCUCACACACCCAGACGUGCCCUCACACACCCAGAUGUGCCCUCACACACCCACACGUGCCCUCACACCCCCACAUAUGCCCUCACCCCCCCCCUUACACACUCGCGCCCUCUCGCGCUCCCUCUCCCCAACGGCCGGCAACAAAGCGGCGGGCAGCGCGCGGGGCGGGACGCGCACACGGGCACACGCAGGCUCACACUCACUCACACUCACUCACACUUACACACGUUCACACUCACACAACGCUGCCGCGGCACCUACCAGGCGGGCAGCCUCGGCCCAGGCUGAAACGAGUUGGGAAUGACUGGGGCUUUGUCCAGUGCCUCCUGCGUCCCUCCCCAGCCGUCUGCCCUCUUGGUUUCCCUAACGUCAAAACUCGCACGGCUCACUGGAGAAAUAAAAAAAAAUAAUAAUAAUUAAAAAUAUCAGUCCCAACUAGCACGAUGUUCACAGAAUCACAGAAUUUCUAGGUUGGAAGAGACCUCAAGAUCAUCGAGUCCAACCUCUGACCUACCGCUAACAGUCCCCACUAAACCAUACCCCUAAGCUCUACAUCUAAACGUCUUUUUAAGGCUGUUUUAUUUAGAAAAGGACAGGGGACAGCCCUAGAGGAAGCCAAAGUGGCUCCCUGAUGGCGCUCCCUCAAAAAGCACUCAGGUGGUGUGCAGGGUUCCAGCUGUUGACACAUCCCCCUCAUCCCCCUCAUCUUUAUAUUGGAAAUGGUACAUGGAAGGUAAUUCCUCACUGUGACGCCUCUCCAGAUUUCAUAUUUCAUUUUCACACUCAAAACCAUUAACAAAACAAACUCUAUUAAAGCACUUUCUUCUGAAUUUUGGGUUGACUCCACACUGUGUUGACUCCACAAUUGACCAGGGUAUUUGAUGUUGCCUCAGAAAUGUUCUUGAGAAAAAUGGUGUUGGAACUGGGAAUUUUCAGGUUCAACGGAGCUAGGUAAUGUGUAACAGCUAUUAAAAUCAUCCAGUUGUAGAAACAGCUACAUAUUCCUUAACUUUGAUAUUUACUGAAUAUUUCAUGUCACCUUAGAAACAGCUAGAAAGGAAAUGCUCGCUAUUAGGAUAACUUCAUUGUCUACGCUUUGUUUCAUUGACUUUGCUUUCUACCUUUUAUGUCUCUGUCCUACUUUUCUUCUUCCUUUUAUAUUUCCUUCCCUUCAGUAACUUCCUACUCCUUUAUGAUGACAAAAAGGAAUCAUUCACAUCUCACCCCCAUUCUAAAGACUAAAUCUUUAGUUAUUAACAACUUCCUUACAGCUGCCUUUGAAACGCCCUGAUUGUUUUCAGCGUUGAAACUGCAUUAAAACUAAAAAUGCAUAAGGAAGUUUAUCAGUCCUUCUCAUCGUAAGAGGCUGUUUUCAGACUAAAAUAAAUGUUUGCAUUAGAUUUCUGUCCGUUCA
rnacentral:lncRNA from 1 species